rnacentral:rRNA from 1 species
AGAGCGAACGCUGGCGGCAGGCCUAAUACAUGCAAGUCGAACGGACCCUUCGGGGUUAGUGGCGGACGGGUGAGUAACACGUGGGAACGUGCCCUUUGGUUCGGAACAACUCAGGGAAACUUGAGCUAAUACCGAAUGUGCCCCCAUCCUUAAACAAGAUGGGUGGGAAAGAUUUAUCGCCAUUGGAGCGGCCCGCGUCUGAUUAGCUAGUUGGUGGGGUAAAGGCUCACCAAGGCGACGAUCAGUAGCUGGUCUGAGAGGAUGAUCAGCCACACUGGGACUGAGACACGGCCCAGACUCCUACGGGAGGCAGCAGUAGGGAAUCUUGCGCAAUGGGCGAAAGCCUGACGCAGCCAUGCCGCGUGAAUGAUGAAGGUCUUAGGAUUGUAAAAUUCUUUCAGCGGGGACGAUAAUGACGGUACCCGCAGAAGAAGCCCCGGCUAACUUCGUGCCAGCAGCCGC